rnacentral:lncRNA from 1 species
ACAUCAUGCAGAUAGCUCAGAAGAAGAAGUAAGUUUUUUUUUUUAAUUACAAAAGUAAAUAUAUAAUAUAAUAUUUGUUGCUGCCUUGUUCUAUAUAAAUGUUUCUAACAUGCAGGUAACAUUUAUAUAUGUAUUAGUUUGAAUAAAUCAUUUUAAUAAAGUUACAUUAUAGGCAGGAAUGUUUGACUGGAAAUAUAAACGAUGUUGUACAUAAUGCAGAUAGCUUAGGCAAAAAAGAGAUUGGUGAAAUGGAGAAUGAGACUAACUAGGGUGAAAAAAAAUGAAUAUUAAUAUGUGAAUGGUACUUUGUUUAACAUCUACCUGUUUCUACAGAUACAGUACAGACGCAUUUAUAAAUGGGCUUGAUGUUUUUUUGAAUUAAAUAUGUUGUAUUGA